AACGCACCUUGCGCUCCUUGGUAUUCCGAGGAGCAUGCCUGUUUGAGUGUCAUUAAUAUAUAUAUCAACCUGCUCUUAUUGAGUAGUUUGGAUGUGGGGGUUUGCUGGCCUUUUUCAAAGGCUCUUCAGCUCUCCUGAAAUGCAUUAGCAGAACAACCUGUUCAUUGGUGUGAUAACUAUCUACGCUAUUGAAUGUGAGGGGCAGUUCAGCUUUCUAACAGUCCUUGGACAAUUCAUCAUUAAUGUGACCUCAAAUCAGGUAGGACUACCCGCUGAACUUAA
rnacentral:misc_RNA from 1 species